AUGCGAGUCAUUGUAGCAAUACAAGGCAGACGGCUCAGUAACGCGUAGUCAAUCUACCCUAUGGACGGGAAUAACCUCGGGAAACUGAGAAUAAUGCCCGAUAGAACAUUAUGCCUGGAAUGGUUUAUGUUUCAAAUGAUUUAUCGCCAUAGGAUGGGACUGCGGCCUAUCAGUUUGUUGGUGAGAUAAUGGCCCACCAAGACUAUUACAGGUACGGGCUCUGAGAGGAGUAGCCCGGAGAUGGGUACUGAGACACGGACCCAGGCCCUAUGGGGCGCAGCAGGCGAGAAAACUUUGCAAUGUGCGAAAGCACGACAAGGUUAAUCCGAGUGGUUUCUGCUAAAGAAACCUUUUGUCAGUCCUAGAAACACUAACGAAUAAGGGGUGGGCAAGUUCUGGUGUCAGCCGCCGCGGUAAAACCAGCACCUCAAGUGGUCAGGAUGAUUAUUGGGCCUAAAGCAUCCGUAGCCCGUUUUGUAAGUUUUCGGUUAAAUCCAUGCGCUUAACGUAUGGGCUGCCGGGAAUACUGCAUAACUAGGAAGUGGGAGAGGUAGACGGUACUCGGUAGGAAGGGGUAAAAUCCUUUGAUCUAUUGAUGACCACCUGUGGCGAAGGCGGUCUACCAGAACACGUUCGACGGUGAGGGAUGAAAGCUGGGGGAGCAAACCGGAUUAGAUACCCGGGUAGUCCCAGCUGUAAACUAUGCAAACUCAGUGACGCAUUGGCUUGUGGCCAAUGCAGUGCUGCAGGGAAGCCGUUAAGUUUGCCGCCUGGGAAGUACGUACGCAAGUAUGAAACUUAA
rnacentral:rRNA from 2 species